UACGGAGGGUGCAAACGUUGCUCGGAAUCAUUGGGCGUAAAGCGCACGUAGGCGGUCCAGCAAGUCGGGUGUGAAAGCCCUCGGCUUAACCGAGGAAGUGCAUUCGAAACUACUGGACUUGAAUACUGAAGAGGAUCGCGGAAUUCCCGGUGUAGAGGUGAAAUUCGUAGAUAUUGGGAAGAACACCGGUGGCGAAGGCGGCGCUCUGGACCGAGACUGACGCUGAGGCGCGAAAGCGUGGGGAGCAAACAGG
rnacentral:rRNA from 1 species